UCGAAACUUGUGACAGCUGGAAAAUUGUGACAGAUACAUAUUUGCAAGUCGCAUUGGCUUUGUUUAUUUUUGCUUCAGCAAUUUAUUAUGUCGAAAAGAAGAUAAUCAGCUGCUUAGCCAUAGGGAAUGGAGCGCAGAGUAUUCGCAGGACAAAAUGGUGAUGACUAUUACUGGCUGAUGCAGAAACUUAACCAGAAGCCAAUGUAUUGAAUAUAAUAAUGUACGGAUCAUGAGAUAGUCGCGAGUAUGCUGUAAAGGAUAUGACAAAAGUGGAGAAUAAUUAACUCAAUCACCAAGAUAUCCAAAUAUUUCGAGUUUAUAACCAUGAAAUACAUCAAGACAAAGCAUCAGUAUAAUUUAUGAAUAUAUGUAUGUACGUUAUUUGCGCAACUAAGGGCCGGUUGUUCAAUGUCUGAUUAGCACAAAUCGGAGGUAGAAGCUCCGGUUAAGCACAAC